UACGAAGGGGGCUAGCGUUGCUCGGAAUUACUGGGCGUAAAGCGCACGUAGGCGGACUCUUAAGUCGGUGGUGAAAUCCUGGAGCUCAACUCCAGAACUGCCUUCGAUACUGGGAGUCUUGAGUUCGGGAGAGGUGAGUGGAACUGCGAGUGUAGAGGUGAAAUUCGUAGAUAUUCGCAAGAACACCAGUGGCGAAGGCGGCUCACUGGCCCGAUACUGACGCUGAGGUGCGAAAGCGUGGG
rnacentral:rRNA from 1 species